rnacentral:rRNA from 1 species
AAACUUUCAACAACGGAUCUCUUGGUUCUGGCAUCGAUGAAGAACGCAGCCGAAAUGCGAUAAGUAAUGUGAAUUGCCAGAAUUCACUGAAUCAUCGAAUCUUUGAACGCACAUUGCGCCGGUCAGAUAUUCUGGCGRGCAUGCCUGUUCGGGGGUGAUUA